CCGCGAGACAAAUGCCCUUCUCCAUUAGUAUCUGCAACCACGGCGACGGCAGCCCCCAUAACCGGAACUUGCCUCCCCAUCCCUACCGCUCUCCCACGCAGCUGCUUCGGAGCAGCCAUCCCACACCUCAACUUUUCGUGGGAUUGUUAUUGGUGGUGAUGUGGUUCCUAGGCUUUCAUUUUCAUCGCAGGCGGCAGCGUUGGGAUGCGUCUCUCUGGGACGCUUCGCAGUUGGGCUUGCUGGUUACUGCUCCUCCUCUUCGCUGGAGAUGAUAUGGUUCUCUGUUUGAGGAGUCGACUGCGAUGGGGCUCAAAAAGCUGAGGAGGGUCGGGUGACUGUUGAUUGGGGGAUGGGGCAACGAAAUCUAUCUGCUCAUGAGGAGCUUGAGCCGGUG